UACAGAGGUCCCAAGCGUUGUUCGGAUUCACUGGGCGUAAAGGGUGCGUAGGUGGCCGGGAAAGUUUGAUGUGAAAGCUCGGAGCUUAACUCCGAAAUGGCAUUGAAUACUAUUCGGCUGGAGGGUCGGAGGGGAGACUGGAAUUCUCGGUGUAGCAGUGAAAUGCGUAGAUAUCGAGAGGAACACCAGUGGCGAAGGCGAGUCCCUGGACAGGUCCUGACGCUGAGGCACGAAAGCUAGGGGAGCAAACAGG
rnacentral:rRNA from 1 species